AUGCUUCCUACUGGCUAGGAGAAACUGCGGAUGAAAGGAAAAGUCUUUUGUUUGUGACACCCCCAUUAAUCUUACAAUGUCACCGACAGUCACAAUCGCCCAACUACACUGUCAGUCCACACCCAACCACAAAGCCACCCAAGAGUCAUAAAGGCUGUGAGCCAGAAAACUGCAGCUUCUCACAUAAUCAGGUACCCUCUAACAUACACAGCCCCAUCAUGGUAAGAUGCUCUCUGUCUUUGGAACAGCCAUACACACACACACACACACACACACACACACACACACACACACCACCCUCUACUCACCUGAUUGCCAAACACAGCCACGGAGCAGGCUGUUGAAACCUCAUCAGCUCCAAACCAGACCGAAGCAAUGCGUGAGGGCAUGCCCAGGAUGAAGACCUGUGCCACAGAGCAGAUGACCUGACCCACCAUUGUGACUGGGAAGAGGUGAGGCUCCAGGCUGCCCAGCUUUACCCAGGCUCCCAGGCAAUUGAGAGCUGAGCCAGUGAUAGCGAUGGUUCGAAGACCAAAUUUCUCCAGCAUCCAGGCCACGGGCAGGAGCAGAGGGAUGUAGGUCAGCAUGUAGCACAUGGACAGCCAGUCGAUGGCAAAGGUGCUGACACCGUAGAAGUUCAUGAAGAUGUUAUUGAUGGAGCCGUACUGGAUCCACUGGAAGGCAUUGCACAAGGAGUAGCAACUGAACACCAGGACCACGACCCAACGACGCUUGCUCACCUUGAUCACGCUGUCUUCUCUAACCGAGCUACUGUGAUGGGUCAAACCGCUGGGUUGAGCCAAGGUCUUUGGUGACUGCCUGAGGGCCUUCCCCAGUGGACCGUAAGUCGUUGGUGAUGGGGCAGCCGGAAGAGGAGAUAAGAGGAGGGGCACGAGGAGUGAAUCAGGCGACGGUAUUCUGGGAAUCUCACAGCUCUGACUGAUUAGCAAUCUGGUGCGUCUUUAUUUAUACAGUUUUCACAGAGCAAAGACAGACUAAUGAUUAUCUAAGAAA